GACGAACGCUGGCGGCGUGCCUAAUACAUGCAAGUAGAACGCUGAAGAGAGGAGCUUGCUCUUCUUGGAUGAGUUGCGAACGGGUGAGUAACGCGUAGGUAACCUGCCUUGUAGCGGGGGAUAACUAUUGGAAACGAUAGCUAAUACCGCAUAACAAUGGAUGACACAUGUCAUUUAUUUGAAAGGGGCAAUUGCUCCACUACAAAAUGGACUUCCGUCUUAUUAGCUAGUAGGUGAGGUAACGGCUCAACUAGGCGACGAUAGAUAGCCGACCUGAGAGGGGGGUCGGCCAAACUGGGAACGAGACACGGCCCAGACUCCUACGGGGAGCAGCAGGAGGGAAUCUUCGGCAAUGGGGGCAACGCUUACCGAGCAACGCCGGGGGGGGUAAGAAGGUUUUCGGGUCCGAAAGCUCUGUUGUAAGGCAAGAACGAUAUUGGUAGUGGAAAGUUCACACUGUGACGGUAGCUUAUCAGAAAGGGACGGCUAACUACGUG
rnacentral:rRNA from 1 species